GGGGGGAGAGGCGAGAGGACAAAAGUGGUUGAAAGAGGAGUGAGAGAAAGUGAAGAAGAAGCAGAAUAGUGGCAGAUGUCCCCACGAAUUAAGACAGAUCACAAGUUAUAUAAUUGGAGUGUACUGCUCGAAUUCCACACGAGGGGGCCUCUCUUUAUUUACUUACAUAGUUACAUCUAUCGCUCUUCUUGUAUCUUCCUUGCACUGUUUUUUUUUUUUUUGCUUAAAACCUCAAACUAUUAUUUAAACCUUGAUGUUGAAUGGACUAUCCGAAGUAGCUCGUUUUAUAGGUUUUAUUGUCAUGCUAUAUCAAGCUAAAGUUGAUUUUGAUGACGAAUUUUGAAAUUCGAUGGAUGUCCUCGAUUGAGAAUGUACCGAUGACUUGCUUUCUUAUCAACUGAAUUUAAUUGAUUAUUACCAAAUUUAUGUCAAAUUACAAUUUUCUAUUCGGAACCUUUUAAAUUUACAUAUGUUGUAAUAUUUUUCAACACGAUAACUAGUCAACUACUUUGAAUAGUUACGGAAUAAAUUUACAUAUGAUUUGUAUAGACAUGUGUGCUAAAUAUCAACCUAUAAUAGUAUGACG
rnacentral:lncRNA from 1 species